GGAAGAAAAGGUGCAAUGGUUGCAGAAUGCCUUCAGAAAAUGCGAAGAUGACUCCAUUUGGAAGUGCAUUGACAUUAGAAAGAAAGCCUUCUGAGAAGGAGAAUUUGGAUAAGGAGACUUAAUAUCUUUAAAUGAAUAUAGGGAAUGACAUAACCUUCCUCAACCUGCUGACCUCCAGAUGGAUUAGGAUCACACUUCCCAUCACUCUCUUCAAGCAGUGCUCACUGAUCUAUCUGGCUGGGGAUACUGGAAGUUGUAGGAGCACACAGCUGGAAGGCAUUAGGUUGAAGAAGGAAGGCUGAUCAAGAACCCCAGCUGUUUCUUACUGCCUUCUUUGAAAGUGAAAUACUGUGUACGUCUACUGGCAUUUCCCAUUGCCUGCAAGAUGUUUCUGAAAAUGGUAGUUUUCAAAAGAGACAGGAAAUUCUUUAUGUGGAUGGAAUUUCAUUAGUAUGAUCAGAGAAGAUAAAUGAAGUUUGGAUGUUUGCAUCUUUCAUCCUUCUCAGAAUGAGUAGGAUGAAAUAGAUAUUCAGUAGAUCAAAUAGAUAUUCCUCAGAGUGUUUUCCUCACUUGUCUUCCUUUCACUUACUUUCCUUGUCUAGAUUCAGAUAGUAAGUUUUAACCAGGAUUCUGUUUUCUCCUAAAGAUCUGCAAACAUUUGUGAUAUGACAGUAACAAUUCUUGUUUAUCCUGGCAUGGAUCUAAACAGCAACUUAGGCUCAUGCAAGGGGUUUCUACUCACCCUGUGGAAUUCUAGACCAAUUUUUCUGUAAUCAUCUGACCCACGUGCCACAUUCCCAAGAUGUUUUUGAUUUAGAAGUGGCUUGCCUUGUGACAUGGGGAUCAUCUCUUAAAGCAAAAUAUAUCAAAAUCCUCCUUGUAUUUUGAUGAUGUGUUGUUAAAAACAGCACAUGGAAAUACUUCUAAUCUAGGUUUUAAAAUAAGUUAUAUCAUCAAAGUUGCAUCCCCAUUUAUUGUCAAGGAGAAAGUAGAUUUUCUCUACCUUCAUUUAAAAGUUUCGGUGUUAUUAACCUAAUAAUUUAGACCAGGGAUGGGGAGUAUAUGGUCCUCCAGUUGGUGAUGGACUGCAAUCCUCAACAUCUCUCACCAUUGGCUGUGACUGAUGGGGACUGCAGACCAACAACAUUGGGAGAGCUGUGCACUCCCAUUCCUACAUUGGAUGUGUACCUUAAAUACAAAUAAUUCACAUUCACAUGAAACAAUAAACCUUGGCAGGAUUUAUCCUUGCUUACUAUGAA